rnacentral:rRNA from 1 species
AUUGAACGCUGGCGGCAGGCCUAACACAUGCAAGUCGAGCGAGCGGCGGACGGGUGAGUAAUGUAUGGGGACUGCCCGCUAGAGGGGGAUAACUACUGGAAACGGUGGCUAAUACCGCAUACUAUCGGAUAACCCAUAUGGGAUUAGCUAGUAGGUGGGGUAAAGGCUCACCUAGGCGACGAUCUCUAGCUGGUCUGAGAGGAUGAUAAGAGACACUGGGACUGAGACACGGCCCAGACCCCACCGGAGGCAGCAGUGGGGAAUACUGCACAAUGGGAGAAAUCCUGCUAGUGCCAUGCCGGCUGCAUGAAGAAGGCCUUAGGGUUGUAUAGUACUGUCAGCAGAGAGGCGUUACCUGCAGAAGAAGCACCGGCUAACUCCGUGCCAGCAGCCGCGGGAAUUC